rnacentral:tmRNA from 1 species
GGGGCUGCCAUGGUAUUGACAGCAGGAUGAAUUGAUAAGUAAGCAUGUCGAGCAUUGUGAUUAAGCUCGUUAAAACUAAUCGCAAACCAAAACAAAAGGCGAAUCUAAUUACGCUCUUGCUGCAUAGUCCUGAAAAUCAGGAUUUGCUUAAUCCCUUUGCAAGGCAUUGGGACGAGAUAUCUCGCAGAAAAUUUUUCCGGAUUUUUUUCUGUAUAUGAGGUACCAGAUUAAUCGGGAUAGUUUGGUCAGAGCUUUGAUGACCAAGCGAAAAUAAAGAAGCUAAGGUAUAGUUUCGGUGGCUUUUUACCUGACUGUACACAAAAAUCUAAUAAAAGCUAAGCAUGUAGAAAGCAUAUUGGUUUCUUGUUUGGACGAGGGUUCGACUCCCUCCAGCUCCACAA